CGGGAGGUGAGGAGACUAAAGACCUAAUGUUUGUCACAGCUGAAGGUCCGUUCCAGUCUCUCAGCAGACCUCUUGGAGCUGACACGUGGCCAGUGCAGGACUUUCCAGGAUUUCUCCCGUGCAUCCCCCAUACUCUGGAACUCGCUGCCCCAACAUAUCAGACUCUCA